rnacentral:rRNA from 1 species
UUCUGGUUGAUCCUGCCAGUAGUUAUAUGCUUGUCUCAAAGAUUAAGCCAUGCAUGUCUAAGUACACACGAAUUAAAAGUGAAACCGCAAAAGGCUCAUUAUAUCAGUUAUGGUUUAUUAGAUCGUUAACAGUUACUUGGAUAACUGUGGUAAUUCUAGAGCUAAUACAUGCAAUAUAAACACGGACCUUAUGGAACGUGUGCUUUUAUUAGGCUAAAACCAAGCGAUUUUUUCGGAAAUCGUUAAUAUGGUUGAACUCUAGAUAAUUUGCCGAUCGUAUGGUCUUGUACCGACGACAGAUCUUUCAAAUGUCUGCCCUAUCAACUAUUGAUGGUAGUAUCGAGGACUACCAUGGUUGCAACGGGUAACGGGGAAUCAGGGUUCGAUUCCGGAGAGGGAGCCUGAGAAACGGCUACCACAUCUAAGGAAGGCAGCAGGCGCGUAAAUUACCCACUCCCAGUUCGGGGAGGUAGUGACGAAAAAUAACAAUACAGGACUCAUAUCCGAGGCCCUGUAAUUGGAAUGAGUACACUUUAAAUCCUUUAACAAGGACCCAUUGGAGGGCAAGUCUAGUGCCAGCAGCCGCGGUAAUUCUAGCUCCAAUAGCGUAUAUUAAAGUUGUUGCGGUUAAAACGUUCGUAGUUGAAUUUGUGCUUCAUACGGGUAGUACAACUAUAAUUGUGGAUUGUACAUUACCUUAUGUAUGCAAGCGUAUUACCGGUGGAGUUCUUAUAUUUAAUGGUACUUGUAUCAUUAUUUAUACCUCCUAUUUAAACCUGCUUCAGUGCUCUUCAUCGAGUGCUGUUGUGGGCCGGUACAAUUACUUUGAACAAAUUAGAGUGCUUAAAGCAGGCUCCAAAUGCCUGAAUAUUUUGUGCAUGGAAUAAUGAAAUAAGACCUCUGUUCUACUUUCAUUGGUUUUUAGAUCAAGAGGUAAUGAUUAAUAGAAGCAGUUUGGGGGCAUUAGUAUUACGACGCGAGAGGUGAAAUUCUUGGACCGUCGUAAGACUAACUUAAGCGAAAGCAUUUGCCAAAGAUGUUUUCAUUAAUCAAGAACGAAAGUUAGAGGUUCGAAGGCGAUCAGAUACCGCCCUAGUUCUAACCAUAAACGAUGCCAGCUAGCAAUUGGGUGUAGCUACUUCUAUGGCUCUCUCAGUCGCUUCCCGGGAAACCAAAGCUUUUGGGCUCCGGGGGAAGUAUGGUUGCAAAGCUGAAACUUAAAGGAAUUGACGGAAGGGCACCACCAGGAGUGGAGCCUGCGGCUUAAUUUGAC